rnacentral:rRNA from 1 species
UACGUAGGGGGCGAGCGUUGUCCGGAAUUAUUGGGCGUAAAGAGCGUGUAGGCGGUUCGGUAAGUCUGCCGUGAAAACCCAGGGCUCAACCCUGGGCGUGCGGUGGAUACUGCCGGGCUAGAGGGUGGUAGAGGCGAGUGGAAUUCCCGGUGUAGCGGUGAAAUGCGCAGAUAUCGGGAGGAACACCGGUGGCGAAGGCGGCUUGCUGGGCCAGUUCUGACGCUGAGGAGCGAAAGCGUGGGGAGCGAACAGG